rnacentral:lncRNA from 1 species
ACCUUGUGAAGAGAUAGCAUAUAAGAGGUGUGAUCAGUAUGCCUUACGCAUCACAAUUGAACUGGAUAGGCCACGUGUAAUUAAAUAUAUAUCCACAAGUCAUCCGUGUUAAACAUCAUUAGCCAAAGAUAGCACUAUUUUAGACUGCGCAAGUUUAGCGCAGUAUCUACCAAAUUAACUUCAAUCUGUAAAACCAUACUCAAAAUCCAUCUGAUCGUCUCAUCUAAUCAUCCACGAAUGCAAGUUGUCACCGAAAACAUGCACGCCCUUGUCACCCUUCAUACAGCUCCGACAGCCGCUCCUCCAUCUCCUCAGCACUAAACCUGACAAACUCC